rnacentral:rRNA from 1 species
GAUGAACGCUGGCGGCGUGCCUAAUACAUGCAAGUCGAGCGAACAGACGAGGAGCUUGCUCCUCUGACGUUAGCGGCGGACGGGUGAGUAACACGUGGAUAACCUACCUAUAAGACUGGGAUAACUUCGGGAAACCGGAGCUAAUACCGGAUAAUAUAUUGAACCGCAUGGUUCAAUAGUGAAAGACGGUUUUGCUGUCACUUAUAGAUGGAUACGCGCCGCAUUAGCUAGUUGGUAAGGUAACGGCUUACCAAGGCAACGAUGCGUAGCCGACCUGAGAGGGUGAUCGGCCACACGGGAACUGAGACACGGUCCAGACUCCUACGGGAGGCAGCAGUAGGGAAUCUUCCGCAAUGGGCGAAAGCCUGACGGAGCAACGCCGCGUGAGUGAUGAAGGUCUUCGGAUCGUAAAACUCUGUUAUUAGGGAAGAACAAAUGUGUAAGUAACUAUGCACGUCUUGACGGUACCUAAUCAGAAAGCCACGGCUAACUACGUG